UAAUACGGAGGUUGCAAGCGUUGUUCGGAAUAACUGGGCGUAAAGGGAGCGCAGGCGGUCUCGUAAGUCUAAAGUGAAAUGCCAGGGCUCAACCUUGGACGUGCUUUGGAUACUGCGUGACUUGAGUACGUGAGAGGAGAGUGGAAUUCCAGGUGUAGCGGUGAAAUGCGUAGAUAUCUGGAGGAACACCGGUGGCGAAAGCGGCUCUCUGGCACGUUACUGACGCUGAGGCUCGAAAGCGUGGGGAGCGAACGGGAUUAGAUACCCCGGUAGUCCACGCCGUAAACGUUGUGCACUAGGUGUAGGAGGUAUCGACCCCUUCUGUGCCGCAGCUAACGCAUUAAGUGCACCGCCUGGGGAGUACGGUCGCAAGACUGAAACUUAAAUGAAUUGACGG
rnacentral:rRNA from 1 species